rnacentral:rRNA from 1 species
UGAGUACGAGCGGCUACGGCCGCGAAGUGGAUGAUGUCAAGCUUCCAAGAAAAGCCCUAUACCCGUUAAGGCAUGAUGGCCUGUACCCGAAACCGACACAGGUGGGGUGGUAGAGAAUACCGAGGGGCGCGAGGUAACUCUCUCUAAGGAACUCGGCAAAAUGGCCCCGUAACUUCGGGAGAAGGGGUGCCACCGCGAGGUGGUCGCAGUGAAGAGGCCCAGGCGACUGUUUACCAAAAACACAGGUCUCCGCUAAGUCGCAAGACGAUGUAUGGGGGCUGACGCCUGCCCAGUGCCGGAAGGUUAAGGAAGCUGGUCAGCGCAAGCGAAGCUGGCGACUGAAGCCCCGGUGAACGGCGGCCGUAACAAUAACGGUCCUAAGGUAGCGAAAUUCCUUGUCGGGUAAGUUCCGACCCGCACGAAAGGCGUAACGAUCUGGGCGCUGUCUCGGAGAGAGGCUCGGCGAAAUAGAAUUGUCUGUGAAGAUGCGGACUACGUGCACCCGGACAGAAAGACCCUAUGAAGCUUUACUGUAGCUUGGUAUUGUGCUCGGGCUCGGAAUGCGCAGGAUAGGUGGGAGGCUUUGAUCCAUUGCUUGCGGGUGAUGGUGAGCCACUGGUGAGAUACCACUCUUUCCGAGCUAGAGUUCUAGCAGCAACCCGUUAUCCGGGUGCUGGACAGUAUCAGGUGGGCAGUUUGACUGGGGCGGUCGCCUCCUAAAAGGUAACGGAGGCGCGCAAAGGUCUGCUCAGGCUGGUUGGAAAUCAGCCGACGAGUGUAAAAGCAGAAGCAGGCUUGACUGUGAGACCUACAAGUCGAACAGGGAGGAAACUCGGCUUUAGUGAUCCGACGGUUCUGCGUGGAAGGGCCGUCGCUCAACGGAUAAAAGUUACUCUAGGAUAACAGGCUGAUCUCCCCCAAGAGUUCACAUCGACGGGGAGGUUUGGCACCUCGAUGUCGGCUCAUCGCAACCUGGGGCUGAAGUCGGUCCCAAGGGUUGGGCUGUUCGCCCAUUAAAGCGGUACGCGAGCUGGGUUCAGAACGUCGUGAGACAGUUCGGUCCAUAUCCGGUGCACGCGCAGGAAUAUUGAGAGGAUUUCUCCCUAGUACGAGAGGACCGGGAGGAACGCACCUCUGGUGUGCCAGUUAUCGUGCCAACGGUAAACGCUGGGUAGCCAUGUGCGGAGUGGAUAACCGCUGAAAGCAUCUAAGUGGGAAGCCCACCUCAAGAUGAGUAUUCCCAUGGCAUAAGCCAGUAAGGUCACGGGAAGAACACCCGUUGAUAGGCUCUACGUGGAAGCGCAGUAAUGUGUGAAGCGGAGGAGUACUAAUAGACCGAGGGCUUGACC